rnacentral:rRNA from 1 species
CCUACGGGGGACAGCAGUGAGGAAUAUUGGUCAAUGGACGAGAGUCUGAACCAGCCAAGUAGCGUGAAGGAUGACUGCCCUAUGGGUUGUAAACUUCUUUUAUAUGGGAAUAAAAUGUUCCACGUGUGGGAUUUUGUAUGUACCAUAUGAAUAAGGAUCGGCUAACUCCGUGCCAGCAGCCGCGGUAAUACGGAGGAUCCGAGCGUUAUCCGGAUUGAUUGGGUUUAAAGGGAGCGUAGGUGGAUUGUUAAGUCAGUUGUGAAAGUUUGCGGCUCAACCGUAAAAUUGCAGUUGAAACUGGCAGUCUUGAGUACAGUAGAGGUGGGCGGAAUUCGUGGUGUAGCGGUGAAAUGCUUAGAUAUCACGAAGAACUCCGAUUGCGAAGGCAGCUCACUGGACUGCAACUGACACUGAGGCUCGAAAGUGUGGGUAUCAAACAGGAUUAGAUACCCCAGUAGUC